AGGCAGGAGAUUGGAGGGAGGGAGGGAGAUUAGGGACUCUAUUCCUUGGGGAUCACUGGGCGCUGGCUGUGCCUCCUUUCCAGGUGGCCCUCUCCACACAACUCUCGCCUCCUGGGCUCUGGGACUCCCCUCUUUAGGCCUGCUGGCACCAGCCCUAGGGUCUGCAAAGUCCCUGUCAUCUCCCUGCCUCUGCUCACUUUGUGUCCUCUGUGAGCAGUAUUUGAAUUAAUACUCCUUGCAAUAUUACCUGGUCCACCAGCUGGCUGACCUGGGGCCACUCCCUCAACUGCUCCUUGUCUCUGUUGUCUGACGCCUCUUCAUGGAGUUGUCAGUAGGUCUAAGAAAUAACCAGCUAAGCGCCCAGCACGGAGCCAGGUGUGGAAUAAAAUCUCCAUGACUUUUACUUCCUUGAGGCCGGCUGAGGCCGGGCUCCCAUUCUGCCCUCGCUGCGAGGACGGAUUGGGGAGGGGAUGACAGCUCCUCCUCCUGGGGGAGAAUUCCCUGUAGCAGGAGUGAAAGCUUUGUCUUGGAGUUUGCCAAGUCAUCAUGGAAGGGACAAUCACAACCCCAGUGUAGUACCUCAAUCCUGGACCAUCCUCAGUAACUGGCCGUCCCAUUGAUUCCUUUGGCGACCACCCAGCUGCUGUGGGUAGUUUCUGCCAUGUCUCCUUCCCUCCCACCUCACAGGUAGGGCUGGGAGCCUGAAAAGGCAUCUCUAUAUUAAAGGGAGUCCUGGGACACUCCCCCUGGUGUCCUGGACUCACUACGCAACGACUUGACUUAUAAGAGCCAAGCAUGCGCAUCUCUUCCCAAUUCCACAUCAGUGAGACGGUAGCUGGAAAUCGGCCGUGGUGGCAGCAUUUACACCAGAGAAAUGCAAUACGCUUCACACCAGGGCUCUUCCCCAGGGGAGCUGGUUCUCCAACACUUACCAGCACCUCACUAGAUACGCCUCUCCAAAGAUCACCAACAUGACCAUAGGCGGGCUUUGGAAACAAUGCUCAGGUGGUGGUUUCUAACUCAGAUGGAAUCACCAUGGAGCCAGUUGAAGAUGGCAUCCUAGGUCCUACCGUAGCAGGUGUACCUCAGCACCCUUUGUCCACAUGCCACAGGCAGCAACAAAAACAGGGAGCACUCUCACCGUAUACCAGUCCCACCGCUGAAAGCUUUCUGCUCUCACCAACAAAUCAAUCACCUCCUUUCAGGAUACACAGCAAAAAAGUGGUCCUCCUGGAGUUCAUCUCAGCGGACAGAGUGUCAUUUUUGUUGGUUUUGAGUGAUCUUGGAAAAUGCGAAGUCAGUUGUUUUGUGUACUGGCCCAGUCCCAAAACUUGUCACAACCGAGCUCUGUGGGAGGAAAGAUAAAUCAGGAUGGGUGCAAGCCCUGGGGCCUUCACCAGAGUGACACAGCAUCACCAUAGCAUCCACCUCUUAGGAGAAUGGCACCUUCCUGAGACCUUCUAGAAAUAGACAUGCUUCCUUCCAUCUGGCAAAGAGGAUAUGUGCCUAGGGAAAUUCUUAGCUCAAGCUAUCAAAGCUAGACAAGCUGAACUAGAUUUUUCUGAAAAGGCAGAACAGAUAGAAGUGGAGUCAGCGUUUUCCUGGGCUGGGCACGUGAAGCCAAGGGCUAGCUGGAAACUAAGGAGAAGCAGAGGCGGGUGUCGCCAGGUCAAACCAGAUGGGAUGUUAUCAAAGAUCCCACUGGUGUGUCCAGAGAAGGAAAUAGAUCUUACAGAGAUCUGAAGGCAGAGGCAAGAGAAGAAACUAGAAUUGGCGCCCAGAAUUCAGAGUGAUACAAAGCAAGAUACGUAGAGCAGGUGGAGAUGAACAGGGAUGUCCCAGGGUCCCUCUGCCUGGUCCUGGUGCACCAUCGGUGCUCUGGGACAGUCACUGAGAACACUUGUCCUGGCUGGGUAUGACUGGGCGGGAAGGUAUCACUAAACACUUGCUGUUCUAUCUUCUCCUAGUUCUUCCCAACUCUCUAGCAAUCCAGGUUUCCUGCUUCCUGCACUGACUCUGCAAGCUCUAUCCAUUCAUUUAUUCCCACCCACCUUCUGUUGAAACUUUCUGGGACGCUAGGAACAUGAGAGAGGAGGGACAGAUGCUAUACUUUCUGCAGGAUCUCCUGGAGUGGCUGGAACAGUGCCUUCUGGCCAGGCUCCCCCGUAAAUACUUGUCAGCUCAGCCUCUAACCCUUGCUGCCCAGCUGGCCCUCCCCAACAUCAUGCAGCCCCCACAAAGCUCAGCCAUCCCAGCUGUGCACCACCCUUCUGCUCCCGUGCCAGCCUCCCGCGCCUGCUCUCUGACUUCAGGCUUCUUCUCUGGCUCCACAUCAGCUCUGGCUCUUCUUUGUACUCCUGGUUAUCCCACCCCAGCAACCCACUCCAGCCUUCCUUUGUCACACUUGCCUGAUGUUGGUGUCACUUGCAGCUUUGUCCUCUUGAGUCCCUCGUAUCCAAGCCCACAUGCAAGGCAGGUGGAGAGGUGCUCCUAAACAUAACCAUGUUGGGCCAGUCCCCUGGCCUGGUUGGCACGGACACCUGUGACCAUGGCCCAAAUGGAAUAGCAGAGCUUUCAUUCCAGUGGCAAAGCUUCAAGGAUAUUACGAGUUCCCUGGCUCUGGGGAUCCCUGUGUUUCUGUGUGACAGCACCCCGGCAUCUCAGCAGGUAAGACAUUUUGCAGCUGGCAGAUCUGCAUGGGUUCUGAUUCUCACUGGAGCUAAUUUGAAGUGCCUCCACUCAGGUAGCCAAACGUGAACAUCAGCUCUGCAUGGCCCAUGUUCACGUGGGGCUCAGAGGUUAUCCAAAUUAAACGUUCUUAGGAAUCGUAGUUAAUGCUCACAAAUAAACAUAAAAUCAGCAUGUGAGUAAGGGAUUCCAGCUAAUAGCAUUUUUAGUUAGUAAAUCAGUUUUAAUCAGGGAUUUAAUAACAUUCUAAUAAUAAAUACUAUUUAUUUGGGGCUAGAUUAUAGAGAUUAUCUUAAAAAUUUGGUAUGUCAAGAAUUGUUUUUUAUAUGCUCAAUUGCUUGUAACCCCACAUAAUAUUAUGUUGCUAUGGCUCAUUCGUCCAGGGAAAAAUUAGAGAGAGUCCAUGAUUGAAGGUCAGAAUGAAUGGCAUGGCUCCCAAUGUGAUAUGGGGAUGGACAGAGGCAGGAAAUGUAUCAAGAACCCGAACAGCUAACACAUACUGAGCAGGGAUGCCAGAGAGGGCCUGGGACCCUAGCAGAGACAGGAAGAGCUGGGAAGGGAUCUGAGGAAAGCAGGUCCGAGACCAGAACAUCUAGAGUUAAUUCUUCUCAGGUUUCACAGGGGAAUUUGAGCCCCAGGUGGGCUGAGAGUCUUGCUCAAAUUAGUAACAGAAAUGAACCAGAACCCGGCUCUCUUGAGUCCCAGUCCUAUAGGUUGGCGUGAGUCCUAGCUGAGCAGACAGCUCCUACCUGAUUUUGGUUUGGGUUCAAACAGCUAUUUCUCCCACGGCCCUAGGGGUCAGGUGCCCCUGUGGCAUUUGAAGAUUGAGGGGAUGUCGGGGAUGAGGGUAGAGCAUAGUAGCCUGGUGGCCCUCGCCCACUGACUCAUGAAGAGCUCACACCUGCCUCCCACCCUAAGGGCACUGUAUGGCACUGAAAGAGAAAAGGGACUUAAAUGCCUUUUUCUCUGAGAAUUCCAUGCACCAUUUGAGAUACUGUGUGAAACCUGAGGCUUGUAAAACCAGGGCGGGGACUCGGCUUGUCACCGUGCACUCUUGGUUUGCUUGUGGAGGAAAGCCAACAGACUGAUAUUGGGAAAUUAGAAUUCUAGAAAGUGAGGGUCAGAAGGCUGGAGCAAGGUCUUGAAGCAAGUGUCCUCAUUUACAGGUAAAGGAUCUGAGACCCAGAGAGACUAGCCCAAAGCCACAGGUUGAGUUACUGGUAAUUCCAUUCAUCUUCACAUCUGGGGGAGCAUCCUUCCUCUAGGUGACUCACUUCCCCGGGGUGGUGAAUCAAGAAAGUGAGAGAGUUAGCCAGGAAAAGGGCCCAGCCUCUACCAUGCUUCCUCGGUGGGCUGUUUGAUCAGAGGUGUGACCUUUCGUAGCCCCACUGGACACAGCAGGCAAUCAGUAAGUAGGUGUAUAUCAAUAGCCAGAGCUGAGCGCUGGACCGUGAGUCAGGAGGCCCAGUUCUCACUACGGCUCUACUGCUCACAGAACAAACUCCCGUGUCGUCAGGACUCAGUGGACUUUGAGGUCCCUUCCGGCUCUCGGAUUUAAUGAAAUCUGUCAGUGACUUGCUGUUCUGCCUGUGUCGUUUUAUCAACAACGUCUGUUUGCAGAACAAGAUCCUUUCAUCUCAGGACUGUGCAUUCAGCUCUGUCCACUCGACCUUUCUGUCCACAUUCAGCACAGCAAUAAGGCAGCGCCUUCCAGUCUGGGUCCCCAAACACAUCAUUAGCUGGGAAGACACUGGAAGCACUGCAUUCUUCGGGCUGUGCUGUCAACUUUGACUUCAAAGAAGCUAAACAAUACUUGUAGAGACUUCCACUCCCAGUCAAGAUGGAAUCAGAUUUACCUUCCACCUGAAGCAACUCAAAAACAAGACAGAAUAAUAAAGCAAUGACACUCAAGACAUUGGACAUUGGACAAUGGAGGAUAGUGAUUUCCUGAGCAAAUGGAAACAGCUGAGAUGUCUUCGCCUCACACUGACUUGGGGAUUGAAUCCGAGAGUUGGAGAGUUGCCCCUAAGAAGAGAAAGGAUGCCGGCUUGACUUUUGACCUCCUUAUGAAACACCGCAAUGAAUCCAUCUGCGAACACACACUGGGCUGGUAGAGACAGACGAGCAGAAAGUGUCUCAAAGCGGCUUCCCAGCAGCCCCUGCCACACAGCCGUCUACAUCUGCAUGCACACAAUUCCGACGCGUUCCGACAAAUGAUGUUUACGUUCGGAAUCCAGCUGUCAAGGGAGAACAGCUGCUGUCAGGUGCUUAAGGGCACCUCGAAGGAGUGUUUUCAGAUUUCAAAAAAACGUGUGAGCCCACACUGUUUCAACUGCUUCCCCGUGGAAGUUGCAGACUGAAGCUUCUUUGUUCCUGCUGAAUGACUCAUGAAUGCCCUUUAAAAGAGAACGAAACAGACAUGUUUUGAUGGGGAAAAUACAUAAAGAAUGCAGUGCAUUUUUCCAAACAGCCGUCAGACCAUCUAAUUUAGGCCAAUAAGGGCAAACUCGCCUGCGUUCUCAGGCUGACCUUCCCAGCGAGGGCCUUGUCCUGGCCCUGGGCUCCUGGGUGAGGGCCGCACUGACCAAGGCAGGAAGGGUAAGGCCAGCUUUCCCAAGGUUGUUAGUCUUCCUGGGGUUCCAUUUGAAAAGAGGCUUCCUGUUCUUCUAGAAGGUUGUUUUUCUUCACUGGGUAAAUCAUUUCCAGUAGCAGUGGGAUGUAAUAAUUGUAAGAAGAUAGUGCGUUUAUAUAGCACUUACUGUGUGCUAAACAUGGUCCAUGUGCAGUAAUUCCUUUAAUCCUCAUAGUAUUCCCAAUGAAUCACUGAGGCACAGAGAUAGUAAGUCAGUCACCCAGGGUCACACAGCUAGUAAGUGGCACAGCUGGGGUACAAACCAGGUGGUGUAGCUACAGAGUCUGGGCUGUGUGUGGUGGAAGGAGCACUUCCCGUGGAGUCGGGAAUCCCGGGUUUGAGUCUGGGCUCUACCCUUUACAAUCUGUGCACUCUGAGCCUUGGUUUCCUACUCUGCAAUUUGAGGUUAAAGCCAGCUCGCAUUGUUAGAGGAUUAGCCGUUGGAGUAGGCCCUCAGCUAAGGUAAGCCGCGCCUGAACGCCGGUGAGCACGGCACAUCCUCCAGGGGCCUUACCCCACUCCCUCCGGUUUUGGGAAGCCCUUCUAUUCUGCAGUGCUGGGUGGAGUAGCAGAAAAAGGCAGGCGAGGGUCCAAUGGGCCUUUAGGACACAGUGACUUAUUGAUGUGAGUGGUCUGGAUUGAUACUGGUAGUGCCCCGCCAACACACACACGCAAUAUAAACAGAUGCAUGGGCUCCUAAUACACACACACCAGAUACACGUACACGUGCUCCUAAUAUACACACACUCACACACAUACACAAACACACACAUACACAUACAUGUACUCCUAAUACACACACACACACACUCACACAACAAACAACUAACCAACCGGAACCCACCAGCGCUGAGCUGCAGUGCCCGUUAGCUGCGUAAAGAAACCCCUGGAGGGUUUACUGUUAACAUCAGUCUUGUGGUGAUCCCGCUGCCUUGGCUUGUAACCCCAGGGCCUAGCUCUGGGUCCUGGGAUACACACAUUUCCAGGGAAUGUGGCUGGUUUACAUCAACUCUGGAUCACUUCUCUUCCCAUUGGGGAAAUCCCAUGUUGUUGAUAAAGGGAAGCAACUAUGAAAUCACAGCAGUGAAAGACAUAGGAAGCGCCCUCUGGUGCAGGGCCCUGAUUUCUGGCACGCGCGGAUGUAUGUCAUCCAGGGCCACCUGCACCCUGAUGUUCUUCUUAACAGGAAGGAAAUAUUUUCACCUGGGUGGGGGAGGGGGCGUUACCUGAAAGUGGUUCUCUCCCCGGUAGAAGCUCCUCACUGAUUCUACCUCCUGCAUGGCAUUUUUGGGCACCUCCCUCCACCCCUACCCCCAGGUUGAGAGCUUCUGCCCUUUAGACCUUAACACCCACGGGGGGUUUACCCAGUGAAGCUGCUCUAAAUGGAGCUGCCCAGUUGAGACCAAUGUCCAGGGAUUGCAUGAAAACCCAGGCUCAAGAUUUGCGUCAAGCACCUAUCAGUUACCCCCAACCUCUCUACUUCCUCAGCUUCAGUGCCCACCUCCCAGAUCUUGCCUCAUGCACCCUGGGGUGCGACAGGCCACUGUGAACCCACCGGUUCAAUUGAUCCUGUUCUUGAUGUUUAGACUUUCUAGUUAUAUAAGCCAAUAAAGUCCCCUUUUUAUGCUUAAUUAUUUAGUAUUGAGUUUUUAUUUCUUUUUUUGUUUGCUUUUUGGGGUUUUUGUUUUUGUUUUUAAAGAUUGGCACCUGUGCUAACAUCUG
ensembl:lncRNA